rnacentral:lncRNA from 1 species
CAUUUACUUGAGCAACAAGACAUAAUUUGCAGUUGGACAUGAGCAAUAUAUGAGAGAAUGUUAAAAUUUUAUAAUUUCUCUACAGUUUUCCUUUUAAAUAUUGAUAAGAAAGGCUUACAGUUCUAAGGAGAACUAUUUUGGCUUUCACUGAUUUAAUAAGAUCACAUGACUCCUUUUUCAGUGCUAAGUGAGACAACAUGCCAAGAAGUGAUAAUUAACUGAACCAUGAGAUACGAAGGGAAAGAAUAGACACUUGUUCUAAUCAAGUGUUUCGCAAAUGUAAACGGCAUCACGUCCACCAGGCAGGCAUGACGCGUCUUGUUGAGUCUGCUAGAAGGAACAAGUUGUAGGUUAACUAGAGAGUGUUGCAGCACCCAUAUCCUGAAAAACUACAAGCAUUUUAAAGAUUUUACUUCUUGUGGGAGUAGAAUUUUAAAAAACCGAAUUACGAGAUAUCCAGAAGAAGGCAUUGUUACCUUAGAGAUGACGUAGAGAUCUGCGUUAUUGCCCCUGAAGGCCUUCCAGGGGGACAAGACGUGAAGAUGGAAGACAGUGAUGUUGAUGAUCCUGCCCUGUGUAGGCCUAAGAUACUGUAUGUGUUUGUGUCUUCGCUCUUAACAAAGAAGUUUAAAAAGUAAAAACAAUAAAAAUGGCAUAAUUUAGAACUAGAAGAAAACUUAUGGUGUAAGGAAAUAAAUAAAUAUUUUUGUAUGUCUAUUUAAUGCAUUUGCGUUGUAAACUAAGUGUGAUUACUAAAGAACUUUAAAAAAAUCCAAGGAAUCUAAGAGCGUAAAGAAGUUGGAUUGCUGGCAAGAUGGCUGAGUAGGAACAGCUGUGGUCUGUAGCUCCCAGCAACAUUGAUGCAGAAGGCACUGAUUUCUGCAUUUCCAGCUGAGAUACCCGGUUCAUCUCCUUGGGACUGAUUGGAUGGUGGGUGCAGACCAAGGAGGGGGAGCUGAAGCAGGGUGGGGUGUCGCCUCACCUGGGAAGUGCAAGGGGUCGGAGAACUCCGUCUCC